GGGGCUCCCGGGGUCCCACAGAAUUCCCCAGGCUCCGAGGAGGAGCUGGCCAAGGCCCUGGAGGGGCUGGGGCUGGAGGAGGGCGGCGGGGACGGCGUCCUGCCCGUCAUGCGCAGCAUCAUGGAGUCCCUGCUCUCCAAGGACGUGCUCUACCCCUCCCUCAAGGAGAUCACCGAGAAGGUGGGACCCCAAAAACCGGCAGGAACCCCAAAAACUGGGAGGGGACCCCAAAAAACCGGGAGGAAUCCCAAAAAACCAGGAGGGAGCCCCAAAAAACCUGGGGGUGUCCCCAAAACUCCGGGGGUGUCCCUUGGGGACAAUGAGUAAGGGUCAUGGGGACAUCAUGGAGUUUCUCCUGUCCUUCCCUCAAAGAGAUCUGCAAGAAGGUGGAACCCCAAAAAUUGGGAGGGAACCCCAAAAAACCGGGAGGGAA
rnacentral:lncRNA from 1 species